CCAAUGUCUGGGGGGAUGGAGGCUUUGACGCCCCGAGUUGGCAGCUUAACUUUAAGCAUCCAGUCCCUAAACGAAUGCGAAACCUUUUCAGGUACGUAAUAGGUUUGCCAUAUAAACUUGCUAGCAUGUGCUUGGAAGGACGUUUGCUCCACGCCUCCCUACUUGCCACUGGUUCCCUUAUGCACACGAAGGUGCUAUGAUUAAUGCUAGUAACUUUGAUGCAGUUUGGAUUGUUACUGUACUCAUUGUCAAUUGAUCUAAAAAGGGCCCCACAAAGGGGCGGUUCCCUAGUCUGCAGCCUUGAUAUUACUUUAUGCCCAUGCGGUGGAGCAAUUGAAGCGAUACACUGGCAAUGCAGUCAUUGACCUUGAAGAAUUUCACCAAGCUGCAUUGGCUAGCCCAGCCCUCGCUCUGGCAUGCCCUUUGUAGGGACAGAACUGGAAGAAAGACUAGGCCUGGAACACUAGCCACCGGCACUAGCCAUGCUUCGGAAGGCGCGGGAGUUCCUCAGACCCUCUUUCAGUACGUGGGCCCUAUGGUGACAUCAUUCAUCACCCACGGCCCCUGCUUCGACGUAUUCGGUUCAGUUUUAC
rnacentral:sRNA from 2 species